UGGCGAACGGGUGAGUAACACGUGGGCAACCUGCCCAAAAGAGGGGAUAACACUUGGAAACAGGUGCUAAUACCGCAUAACCAUAGUUACCGCAUGGUAACUAUGUAAAAGGUGGCUAUGCUACCGCUUUUGGAUGGGCCCGCGGCGCAUUAGCUAGUUGGUGGGGUAACGGCCCACCAAGGCGACGAUCAGUAGCCGGACUGAGAGGUUGGCCGGCCACAUUGGGACUGAGACACGGCCCAGACUCCUACGGAAGGCAGCAG
rnacentral:rRNA from 1 species